UGUCGCCACUUGCUCACACAAAUGUCAAAGAAGCUUUAAUACAGUGAAGAUCUUAUUGUCCUGUCUCUAGAACCUUCUUUUCUCUCCCCUUAUAAUCUCAUUUCUCUCUCCUCCACGCUUCAAGCUCUCAAAUCAACAUUUUCAGAAGAAAGUCACAAACUUUACCCAAAACGCAGUUUCUAAUUUUGGCAACAAAAUCUAUCUAAUCUGCUUUGGUUUCUCUAAAGUUACUAAAUUUAUACAAUUUAGUUUAUGGGUUUGAGAUAAAUAACGAAAAAUGGAGGAACUGAAAGUGGAAAUGGAGGAAGAAACGGUGACGUUUACUGGUUCAGUGGCUGCUUCUUCGUCUGUAGGAUCAUCAUCGUCUCCGAGACCAAUGGAGGGUCUGAACGAAACAGGACCACCGCCUUUUCUGACGAAGACUUACGAAAUGGUGGAGGAUCCGGCGACUGACACUGUAGUUUCUUGGAGUAAUGGUCGUAACAGCUUUGUGGUGUGGGAUUCUCAUAAGUUCUCAACAACUCUCCUUCCUCGUUACUUCAAGCAUAGCAAUUUCUCGAGUUUUAUUCGUCAGCUUAAUACUUAUGGAUUCAGAAAGAUUGAUCCAGAUAGAUGGGAAUUUGCGAAUGAAGGGUUUUUAGCUGGACAAAAGCAUCUCUUGAAGAACAUUAAAAGAAGGAGGAACAUGGGAUUGCAGAAUGUGAAUCAGCAAGGAUCUGGAUCUGGCUCUGGGUCAGGGAUGUCAUGUGUUGAAGUCGGGCAAUACGGGUUUGACAAGGAGGUAGAGAGGUUGAAGAGGGAUCAUAGUGUGCUUGUAGCUGAGGUAGUUAGGCUGAGACAGCAGCAACAUAGUUCCAAGAGUCAAGUUGCAGCGAUGGAGCAACGGUUGCUUGUUACUGAGAAGAGACAGCAGCAGAUGAUGACGUUUCUCGCUAAGGCGUUGAACAAUCCGAACUUUGUACAGCAGUUUGCUUUGAUGAGUAAAGAGAAGAAGAGUCUGUUUGGUUUGGAUGUUGGGAGGAAACGGAGGCUUACUUCUACUCCAAGCUUGGGGACUAUGGAGGAGAAUUUGUUGCAUGAUCAAGAGUUUGAAAGAAUGAAAGAUGAUAUGGAGAUAUUACUCGCUGCAGCUAUCGACAAUGAGUCGAGUAAUUUGAUGCCUAUGAAGGAGGAACAGUGUUGUGAGGCUAUGAAUGUGAUGAUGGGAGAUGGUAAUCUGGAAGCAGAGUUGGAUGUGAAAGUGGAAGAUUUGGUUGGUUCACCUUUGGAUUGGGACAGUCAAGAUCUACAUGACAUGGUUGAUCAAAUGGGUUUUCUUGGUUCAGAACCUUGACUUUACGGCUGAACACAUCUACUUGUCGAAAGACCGAUAUACUCGGUCUCUAAGUUGUGAUCUUAGAAGCAUGAGAUGGAGCUGCAAUAAGAGUAUCAAGCUCCGUGUUAUGUUCAGCAUUUUGGAGUUUAUGUUAUGAGAGAAGACCUGAAUUUAGUAACUUUUGUUAAGAUUUUUUUGGGAAAAGAGGUCAAGGUACAAAAAGGAAAUCGGAAAAAUGUCGCCGGAACUAAAACGGAAGUUCGGAUCUUGUUGGUUACCGGUGGCAGAGAGUCAGUCGCAUUAGAUCCGGUGGUUUCAAGGUCCACGGCUUUGAGGCAGAGAAGAAGGAUUGAAAACCCCGUUGGAAGAAACCAGUUUCCGACGAUGCACCUCACCGUCAACUCGCCACUCUUGCUACAAACCU